CGAAUUCCUGCAACAAGAUUAUCGUAAGAUUAUUGCAAUUGAACUAUUGACAAAUUUCUAUGUGCCAACAGCAGACAUAAUCGAUUCAAACAAGUUCAAUUCUUCUUUAUCAUCCUUGAUCAACGAUUGAGAGCCAUUAAAAAUCGUGUCCUUGCGCUUUGUCCUUCACCGACAAACAAUUUUAUAUUCCUAUUAGAUCGUUAAAUCUUUCACAAGAACGAUAAUAGAGGAAUAGUAGUUUGUAAUGUUCUCUUGUAAAUCAUCUCAUUCUUUUUAAUUUAAAAUUAUAAACUAUAAAAUUAUAAACUAUAGAUUUUCAUUUUUUAAAUAAAAAAUUUAUAAGACAUCGAUAAAAUCUUCUUAACUACCUAUCGUUCAGAAUAACUACACGUGAAAUGAACUAUCAAGUCCGGUAUGUACUGAACGUGUUAAUUGCUCAAGCGUUUGUCAGGUAACUCAAUAGAAUACCAGCCUUGCGGGUUAGAUGCUAUCAGUAAAUGAUCCAGUAAUCGAAUUACGUUGUUACUCUAUCCUGAAGCACGAGAGCGAGAGAGAUAGAUGCAGAGCUUUGGAGCCAACCGGUUAAGAUCUAUUUUCGCCUGUUGAGAAUCCGUUCGCGAAGAUAGAGCAAGAAAGAGAUAGAAUAGUAAAAUGCUGCGAGCAUACUAUCUCAAGCUAAAUAGAAGACGUUUCUCUUUCUUACUUGGAAUAGCAUGUUCGUGAGAAAAGGCACAAUAAAUUGUCAAAGACUAAAACGAACUAUGGUAUUAUCUGUCUCUCUCGUUUAACUUAUGUAAUACUAUGUGUCAACUUAUCGCAUAAACGUUUAAGACAUAUACGAAAACAUCGAGUUUGCCUAUCAUUGGAUCUCUAAUAUAUACGUUUGACAUAUUUUAUAAAUCGACAAUAAAUGACUAGCGAGAAUCUGGUCUUUCUCUUUUUCUCUUUCUUUUUCGUUUGAUUACUUUCGAUAAAUAACAAUUUUCAAGGAUAAAUGUUAUCGCUUAACUUCGAAUUUCAUAAAAACAAGCGAAAUCCGCUAUUUUUAUUUCUCUAAUUAAAAUAUAUAAAUCGUUUGCACGAUAUAUUUGGAAAUAGAUAAAAAUUUUUUAAGUUUUAAAAUAAUAUUAAAAAUUCAAUCCCAUGCAUAUGUCAUUCGUUUACUUUAAAUGUACAUCUCGAAGGACGAGCGGAAUAUUUAACAUACGCAUAUAUUAAUAUUUAUGUAAUUAAGAAGGAAAUAUAUGAAAUAAUAAAAUAGUGAUCGUAGAGCCAUUUGAAGUUCGUGAAUGAGUCAUGCGCGAAAUUGCACCCGUUACAAUACGGAGCUCAAGUUAACCUUGUAACACAUAGCGCAUGUUAUUUACAAUAUGAAUGAAAGUACAAGUAUUGGGUGGGUGGACCUAUAUCAUCUCUUAGCUAUCAGAUAAAUUUUUAAUGGAAAAACGCAAAAACUCUUAUUUCAACUUUUCGACUAUCUUCGAAAUUUUCGUGAUAUGAAGAUAGAAUCCAUUAAUGCCGUAGUCAAGGGAUUAUCGAAAGUUUACCAAUAUGCUGUCACCAUGGACUUGCAAAUUUCCACUUUAACGCGACGUGCUCUGUUACUCAUGAAUUACAUACUCUCUGGAAAACCGCUUACACAGCGUUCUUUUGCAUAUCUGUCUGAUAUUGCUAAAGUGUGUACACGUAUAAGGUGAGUCAACGACUGUUGUCAUCCAAUAUAAUAAUCUAUUUACCGAUUUAAGAUAUAACGUUCAAUAUAAAUCCCUUAAUGCGUACGAUAUAACUCAGUUAUCAAACGCAAAAAACUUUUUCUUUUUUAUAAAAUCGAUAAAGAAAAUAACGCCGAACAAAGAUAGUUCUUGACACGACCUGUAUAAAUCGCAAGAUAUUCAACACAUACUUUUACUAAUACUACAAAAAAAAAAAAAAAAAAAAAAAAAAAGAAAAAAAAAAAUAGAUAAGAUCGAAUAUUAAAAAGCAAAGAUAAAGUGUUUGAACGUUACUUUUACACUUUCUUCUAUUUUUUAUCUUCGAAACGAGUGAUAGAAAAUAAAAUUAUGAUCGAUAUAACGUACUGGCGAGCUCGAAUACUCGUUUUAAAAGCCUCUCGUCUUUCCAACUUUGAAAUAAAUAGAAUGGUGUGCUUGUGGAACGAUAGUGAUCAUUCGAUAUAUCGAAAAUGUAUAAAAUAUCUGUGAGCUCCAUCGAACUCAUCCACGGAAAAUGAAUCUCUCGAAAGCUAGCAUCCGUGCAACGAUUUAAAGUGUAACGAUGAUAUCAUAUCUUCCUGAUGAAUGGACGAUAUCGUUUUCGCAAACAAACGAUCCUUGACCAAGUAGUAAAGCGGAGAACGACUCUCUAGCAAUCCUCUCACGAGUUACGAUGUUGGAAACCACAAAACUGGACCAUUCCUACGACAGUGAAAUUUAAUUUACGAUAAAGCGUAACCGCGUGUGUGCAAUAAUUCACGUUUUACCUGUACUGAUAUAAAUUAUUCGAUUGCGAGAAGUGAAUGAUUCGACGUUGAAUCUAUGUAGAAAAUAAUCAAAAUAAUAAUAAAUAUAUUUGCGAUUCAAAUUCGACGCAAAAAAGAAUUAAAUUUUUUUUUCUUUGAAAAAAAAAAAAAAGAAAAGAAAAGACAAAAAAAAAUUACGACAAGAAUGAUAUUUACUCUUUAUCGAGAUAUCUCCAAUAGAAACUUUAUUUUCGAAGUUUAAAGAUCGAAUUAUCAGGACGAAGGAUUAACAAACAAGUUGAAAUUUGUUAAACGAACAUACUUUCUCUCUCUCUCUUUCUUUUACACACACACACACACACACAACUCGCACUCAUACGUGCAAGUUCAUAUGAAAACGUUACGUAAAUUUUCUUCUUAACGAGCGCCAACUCGUACUAUCUAUAUAAAAACAUUUCGGAAAAAAUCGUGCAUGCAUUCGCAGAGUAAAAAUAAAAAAUUCUCAUUCAAAUUUGCAUCGAAUGCAUACGUUUCCGUUUAUAUCGGUACAAACUCCAGUCGGUUCCCGAUAUACGAUCGCGAACUCCAUAUACGUGAACACGAUAAAACCUAACGAUUCCUGAAGUAAUAUCAUUUGUUAUUGCGCGCUGAAAAGAGAACGAUUCUAACCAAGAGAGCGAAUACCAGUCGCCAAAGCACUUCUUGGCAAGUUUUAAAGAAAUACCUUGGUGAAGUUCCACUUUUCAAACGACUAACCAAUUUAUUGUAGAUUAAAUUGGAAUUCGUGCAAUAAAACGAAUUAUAUAAUCUAAUGUAUACAUAAGGAUAAAUGAAAUCUGCGUCAACUUGACGAUGCGAUAAACAAAGACAUUAAAUUUUGAUAAGGGAUCACAUCAAUAUUAAAAUAAUAAAAUGUACAAGGAAGUUGACAAUCCAACUGUUUUACUAAUAUUAUUUCGAGCAAUACAAUUAUUUUGUCUUCGUUCGUUGAUAUAAUAGACGCUGAUAUAUCAUUUUUGGUGUCUCGUCGACUUAACAGCAAAGACAGCUUUCUAGGAUGAUAUUGUUUCUCGGAAUAGGCAUCAUUAAAUGCAUUGAACGGGGUUAAGCACAUUCCACCCUACGCGGAAGUUUAUUUUCAGCUUGGCUCUUCUCUAUCGAUGGACUAUUCGGAUGUUUCGCGAAAGAAAGAGGGGAUUUGAAGGAAAAGUGUCAUUGAUAACCAAUUGAAAAUAGGUCAAGAAGAUCAAAGAUAACUAAUAUAAAGAAGGAGAAGAAAGAGAGAGAGAGAGAGAGAGAGAGAGAGAGAGAGAGAGAGAGAGAGAGAGGAAAAAGAGAG